GGGGAGUGGAGGCGCGAUACGAACCCGUGGGAGCCUCCCCAACCCCGCAGUCCCAGCGGCAAACUGUGCUUGGUCGGACGGAUGCCCGCGCGGAGGGGUAGCCACGGGAGUGCCUCCGCCCAUGACAGCAGUGUGCAGGAAGCUGACCUGGAGCUGGGAAGCCGGGAGAAGGCACGUGGGGUUCCACCUAGAUAAACCCCAAAAAGACAGCUCCAGUGAGGGACUAGCAAACCUGAGACCAGCCACCAGCCUCUGAGACAGCGCUGGACCCCAAGACUCUGCAGGAUUCGCCUCAGUGCAGAGGCUCUGGAUUCUCUGGCUCUGAGGCGAGAUGGGAGCUGUCCUCCCAGUGGUGCUGAAACUCGGGCUGCCUCCGUUGGGGUCACCGACAGAGGCUCACUUGUUCAGGCACUUCCUGGGUCAGCCUUUCCGCCUCUGAGACGGGCUCUCCCAUCUCAGAUGGGAGAUUCUGCCUGGAAGGGAAGUAGUCCACGCCAUCAUCAUUCCCCGAAACCUUAAUAGCCACCUAACUGGAUUCACC
rnacentral:lncRNA from 10 species